rnacentral:rRNA from 1 species
GAUGAACGCUGGCGGCGUGCCUAAUACAUGCAAGUCGAGCGAAUGGAUUAAGAGCUUGCUCUUAUGAAGUUAGCGGCGGACGGGUGAGUAACACGUGGGUAACCUGCCCAUAAGACGGGGAUAACUCCGGGAAACCGGGGCUAAUACCGGAUAACAUUUUGAACCGCAUGGUUCGAAAUUGAAAGGCGGGUUCGGCUGCCACUUAUGGAUGGACCCGCGUCGCAUUUGCUCGUUGGUGGGGUAACGGCUCACCAAGGCAACGAUGAGUAGCCGACCUGAGAGGGUGAUCGGCCACAUUGGGACUGAGACACGGCCCAGACUCCGACGGGAGGCAGCAGUAGGGAAUCUUCCGCAAUGGACGAAAGUCUGACGGAGCAACGCCGCGUGAGUGAUGAAGGCUUUCGGGUCGUAAAACUCUGUUGUUAGGGAAGAACAAGUGCUAGUUGAAUAAGCUGGCACCUUAACGGUACCUAACCAGAAAGCCACGGCUAACUACGUGCCAGCAGCCGCGGUAA